rnacentral:rRNA from 1 species
AUUGAACGCUGGCGGCAGGCUUAACACAUGCAAGUCGAGCGGCAGCACGGGGGCAACCCUGGUGGCGAGCGGCGAACGGGUGAGUAAUACAUCGGAACAUGCCCAGUCGUGGGGGAUAACACUUCGAAAGAAGUGCUAAUACCGCAUACGUCCUGAGGGAGAAAGCGGGGGAUCUUCGGACCUCGCGCGAUUGGAGUGGCCGAUGUCAGAUUAGCUAGUUGGUGGGGUAAAGGCCUACCAAGGCAACGAUCUGUAGCUGGUCUGAGAGGAUGAUCAGCCACACUGGGACUGAGACACGGCCCAGACUCCUACGGGAGGCAGCAGUGGGGAAUUUUGGACAAUGGGGGCAACCCUGAUCCAGCCAUUCCGCGUGAGUGAAGAAGGCCUUCGGGUUGUAAAGCUCUUUCGGCAGGAACGAAACGGCGAGCUCUAACAUAGCUUGCUAAUGACGGUACCUGAAGAAGAAGCACCGGCUAACUACGUGCCAGCCGCCGCGGUAAGAC